rnacentral:misc_RNA from 1 species
GAUGAAGAACGUAGCGAAAUGCGACAAGUAAUGUGAAUUGCAGAAUUCAGUGAAUCAUCGAAUCUUUGAACGCACAUUGCGCCCACUAGUAUUCUGGUGGGCAUGCCUGUUCGAGCGUCAUUUCAACCCUUAAGCCCCUGUUGCUUAGCGUUGGGAGCCUACUGGAACUCUCCUGUAGCUCUCCAAAGUCAGUGGCGGAGCCGGUUCGCACUCCAGACGUAGUAGCUUUUACAUAUCGCCUGUAGCUUGGACCCGGUCCCCUGCCGUAAAACACCCCAAAUCUUCUAGGUUGACCUCGGAUCAGGUAGGAAUACCCGCUGAACUUAAGCAUAUCAAUAAGCGGAGGA